GUAGGUGGCAAGCGUUGUCCGGAAUUAUUGGGCGUAAAGCGCGCGCAGGCGGUUCUUUAAGUCUGAUGUGAAAGCCCACGGCUCAACCGUGGAGGGUCAUUGGAAACUGGAGAACUUGAGUACAGAAGAGGAAAGCGGAAUUCCACGUGUAGCGGCGAAAUGCGUAGAGAUGUGGAGGAACACCAGUGGCGAAGGCGGCUUUCUGGUCUGUAACUGACGCUGAGGCGCGAAAGCGUGGGGAGCAAACAGGGAUUAGAUACCCUGGUAGUCCACGCCGUAAACGAUGAGUGCUAAGUGUUAGGGGGUUUCCCGCCCCUUAGUGCUGCAGCUAACGCAUUAAGCACUCCGCCUGGGGAGUACGGCCGCAAGGCUG
rnacentral:rRNA from 1 species